GACGAACGCUGGCGGCGUGCUUAACACAUGCAAGUCGAGCGACUGCAUUCUUUUCGGAGGGUGUAUGGAGCGGCGAACGGGUGAGUAACACGUGAGUAAUCUGCCUUUGGCUUGGGAAUAACUUCGGGAAAUCGGGGCUAAUGCCUGAUGUUUACUGUCUGCUGCAUGGUGGGUGGUGGAAAGAUUUUUUGGCCAGGGAUGAGCUCGCGGUCUAUCAGCUGUUGGUGGGGUAAUGGCUUACCAAGGCUUUGACGGGUAGCCGGCCUGAGAGGGUGUUCGGCCACACUGGGACUGAGACACGGCCCAGACUCCUACGGGAGGCAGCAGUGGGGAAUAUUGGGCAAUGGGCGCAAGCCUGACCCAGCGACGCCGCGUGGGUGAUGAAGGCCUC
rnacentral:rRNA from 1 species